GUCAGCAGGGUCCUGCUCUCGGGCGGGAAGCUUCCUUGCCUUGUCCUAACUCUGCACGGUUGCAGACAAUCCCGGACGGUCCUUGGCUUCUGUCUACAUCGUUCCUGUCUCUGCCUUCAUCCGCACAUGGCGUUCUCCCUAGUAUGUUUCUAUGCCUCUUCUUGUAAGAACACCAGCCACAUUGGAUCAAGAGCCCACCCUACUUGGAGCUACUGAAACCUUUGGAAUUUGCUAAGUGAUGAGAGCCAUAAAGGUAAUGAUGCCUCCAUUAAAACCCGAAACAGCCUGGAUUCGAAGUUUCCGGGUUGGUGAACUCCUGGAGGUUAGGAAGAGAAGCACGUCUGGAGAGGACACAGAAGCUCCACGUUCUUUCCCCCCCACCACGCCCCAUGCAUUUCUUCCAUCUGGCUGCUCACA